GUAUUUAAAUAAAUUAAGUUAACUGGAAAAAACCCAAAUGUAGGUCGUAUUAAAACUGACACCGGUGGAUGAGUAGAGUAUACUAAGAUAACGAAUGAAUAGUGUUGAAGGAACUCGGCAAAUUAGUCCCGUAACUUAGGGAGAAGGGAUGCCUUUAAAGGUUACAAUAAAGUGGGGAUAGCGACUGUUUAAUAAAAACACAAAAUCCUGCAAAGUUGAAAAAUGAGGUAUAGGAUUUGACUUCUGCCCAGUGCUGCAAAAUGAAAAUAAUAAAUAUAGUUUAUUAAUAAAUUCCAGUAAACGGCGGCCGUAAUUCUGACGGUCCAAAGGUAGCGAAAUUCCUUGGCGGGUAAGUUCCGUCCUGCAUGAAUGAAGUAACGACUGUCCCACUGUCUCCAACACUAUUUCGGUGAAAAUGAAAUUGUCGUGCAGAUGCGAUAAAGUACAGUAAGACGAGAAGACCC
rnacentral:rRNA from 1 species